UUAAAAUGAUGGUGACCCUGUAAGUGUAAAGGCUCUUGAAAGCUUUUCUUUGCUGAUGUUCAAAUAGAGCUUUUCAUUGCUGACAAUCAAAUGUCAAAUGUUGUGGAUUUGAAGUGCAGUGGCAAUGCAGUCUACUUCUUCCUCCACCAUGCUCUAUCGGGUGAGCUUCUAUUCUUGCGAAGCAAGUCGUCUUAUCUCGACAUCUCCUUUUGGUUAAGCUUUUCUGUUUUGAGAAGUUUUUGGCUCUUCAAGAAUGGUGUCCCUAGACACGAUUCUCGAAAAGAUUUGCAAUCAUUUCCAAACGGGGCAUUUUAGUUGCUGAUGGUCAAAUGUCAAAUGUUUUGGAUUUGAAGAGCAGCAGCGAUCCAUUCUCUUUCUUCCUCUAUCAUGAGCAGGCUGGGCGAAUCUCAAGUCUUGCGAAGAAAGUUUUCAAUUUCAUGUCAGAUUCUGUUCUUUCUGUUUAUCUUCAAAUGAGUUUCUAUUGACUUGAUAAGUUUUCAAUUUCCUCUUAAAUGAGGAACGAUUCUUGAAAGCUAUGGAAUCAGUUCCAAAUAGGGAUUUUUCAUUGCUGAGAUUGAAUGCUAGAUCUUUUGAAUCAAAAGAUUUUCUACCAUUCUACAUAAUAUCUGUCAUUGUUGAAGUGUGUAAAGUUGGUUCAACUUUCGAAUCAAACCAAAGGCCCAUGAUCCUGAUUCUUGGAUGUUGAUCUUGAUUAGAUCUUGUAGGUAAUAUCCAUCUUUGAUUUUGCUGACCACAUUGGUGUGUUGGGAUGUGAUGGCCAACAUGGCAUCAAGCAAUUAUGGAUGUGGUUAGUCCAAUUAGAUUGUUUUAGUUAUAAGAGGAUGUUUCUUAAUUGCUUGUGAAGCUCACCUACUUACGUGAGAUUGGGACAAAGAUCGAUGACUUGGUGAAAGACACUCAAGAAGAAACCACUGAUUACAGAGAUUUUAUAAGAGGCAGGGUCCAAAAAUAUUCCAUGGGCCCCAUUAAUUCACAUGCCAUAUGAGCAGGUUGUCCGGUGAGUCCCUGUGCCUAUAUUUAUUCAUUUUGCAUCUCCUUUUCUCAUCAAUUUUGUGGUCCUUUUUUUCUUGUGACAUUGAAUUGCCUUUUUUGAUUGGGUUGACACAUGGAUAAGAACUGCUUUUAUUGAUGUUACAUAAUUUAGUAAUUUAGAAAGAAAAAAAAAUGAAUGAGUGUUCUCUUCUUCUACUGUGUUUGUACUCGGUGUAGUUCCUUCUUUAAAUCCAACAUAUCACAUGGCUUUCUAAGAGAGAAAAAUCUGACAAAGAAAAUAUUGCUGAAUGCGGAGCUAAACUAGCCGAAGUUAAGUCAAUACAGCGAGAUUUGAUGAUGGGCUUCUUCUUUAGAAAGGGUCUGGGCUUUCUCAAUUUUCUUCAAGGUGCAUCAUGUGUCUUGGUAUGUCAUGUGGAAGGACAUGGUUCUUUAUCUUCUUUCAGAAAUAUUAACCAUGGCUUCCCAUGUCUCGUUGAAAACAGUGGAUUUGUUGCAUUUGCUUCUGUGAAAGCCCGAUAACUGCCACAGCCAAAUCAAUAUUCUUUCAUUUUUGUUUAAUAGUUGACUCAGUUAUUGAUUAAGAUGCUUUUACUAUUUAACUUACAUAUAGAAGUGUCUGAAGACCUGCACUUUCAUUGAUUGCUAUGAGUUGUUUAGUCUGGACAAGUAUGUAACUCAGUAAUUUUCCAAUGCAUGCUUAAAUUUCUUAGGUAAUAUACACUCAAAAGUUGGAUCAUAGAUGUUGUUUAUCGAUUUUCUUGAUCAUUUUUGGCUUGUUAAUACAGUUGGAUCUAGAUAUGGAAUGCUGGAUUCACUUGAAAGGUACGAGAUUAUGUCAAGUGGAGCUCUUGUUCCCUCGUUGUUCAAAAGGUGUUCAAUUUUAUCAACUUUAAGGUAAUUCUUGAUACUGCAUGCUGUUCCAACUUGUAACAUUUGUCAUACCUUUUGUGGAUCUCUUGUAGAUAAAUCAAUUUUAAUUCUUUGGUGCUACAUGUCAUCUUUACAGCAGGUCGGUUCCCCAUACCGAUACUGUGUCUGAGGAUGACAAGAUUUUUUAACCCUUCCAUGCAUCCAUCCACAGUAGAUACACACUAUUCUACUGCUUACUUUUCUGGAGGGAUAUAUUUGUAAGAAUGUAUAGUGCCUUCCUGGAUGGUUUGUCACAAUCCUUCAAUGGCUUGAGCAUUAUUGGAUGUUUGAAUUUGAGAAACAUUAAAGAAAAAAAAAAUCUAACAUGAAACACUGUAGUUGUUGAGGUUCUAUUGUGUUAAUGGUGGUGUUGUUGUUAAGCUUCUCUUAUUAUCUGCAAACAGAAGACUCAUUGUCUGGGGUGUCAUCAACAGUUUGUCUUGCCACAACCCUUCCUGGGAAAUAUGAGCAACUUGUCCGACGUUUCUCUGGCUUAUAUCAAUCAAACAUGAUAUUUGUUUACUUGUAGUAGCAGAUACUCGAAGUAAUAUUCACAAUGCAACUUUUUUAUUCUUUUUAUUACUUUUGUCUUUUAGGAACAUGUCUUAAUUGGAACAGAUUACAAACAGUAUUGAUUACAACAUUGAUGUGCUGCAGAGUUACUGAACAGAUUGCAAACAGUGUGCAGAAUUUCUGAGCCGAAAGGACUAUCAAAAUGUCCAUGACUACUGUUCACACUCCGUCUGAUAUGAGGAGGGCUGCCCAUUUUUUGAUGAGCUACACACCGCAGAAAUAAGUUCCGAUGGUGAUAGAAAACUGCAGACUGGUAACGACAGUGCAGAAUGUGAAUUGUAAGAGGAAGAAACGGAGGCAGACCUGAGGUGGUCCUUUUGCCUUGAACAGGUACCAAUAUUUGUGAUCAGAUAGUAUGACUAGUAAAUGAUUCUUAUGCAUUCAAUGAACUCAUUCAUUUUUA